rnacentral:rRNA from 1 species
GAUGAACGCUGGCGGCGUGCCUAAUACAUGCAAGUCGAGCGAACGGACGAGAAGCUUGCUUCUCUGAUGUUAGCGGCGGACGGGUGAGUAACACGUGGAUAACCUACCUAUAAGACUGGGAUAACUUCGGGAAACCGGAGCUAAUACCGGAUAAUAUUUUGAACCGCAUGGUUCAAAAGUGAAAGACGGUCUUGCUGUCACUUAUAGAUGGAUCCGCGCUGCAUUAGCUAGUUGGUAAGGUAACGGCUUACCAAGGCAACGAUGCAUAGCCGACCUGAGAGGGUGAUCGGCCACACUGGAACUGAGACACGGUCCAGACUCCUACGGGAGGCAGCAGUAGGGAAUCUUCCGCAAAGGGCGAAAGCCUGACGGAGCAACGCCGCGUGAGUGAUGAAGGUCUUCGGAUCGUAAAACUCUGUUAUUAGGGAAGAACAUAUGUGUAAGUAACUGUGCAAAUCUUGACGGUACCUAAUCAGAAAGCCACGGCUAACUACGUG